CCACCUGGCCAUACUACCCUGAAUGUGCUUGAUAUUGUAUGAUUUCAAAAGCUAAGCAGGGUGGGGCCAUGCUUGGAUGGGAGGC
ensembl:rRNA 5S_rRNA 5S ribosomal RNA